CCAAAUUGCUCCAAAAUUCUCUCUCCUCACCGGAAUUUAGAGAAUUUCUCUCUUUUUGCUUCCUUUUUUUUCUUUAAGUUAACAAAUUUAUAGAAAAUAAUUAAAAAAAAUCGCAACAAAUAUUAAUGGAAAAAAAAAAACUAAAACCAAAUUGUUAAUGGUGGCACAAACAUUAAAAAAGAAAAGAAAAAAUAACCUGCCGCAAACUUUGAUAACCCUAAACAAUAUUCUUUCCCCAUUUUUAUUCCUCUCCACCAGCCGUGUCGUACAGAUGCAGAAAAAGGUUUGUUCUUCAACAUCUUCAAUUCUUUUUUUGGUUUCCUUCUCUCAUAUUAUACAAUUUGAUAGAAUAAUAACCAUAAGCUUAUGGGGAUAGGUUUCUUCUUCCACGGAUAUUCCUUCUUCCCCGUAAUGUUCUUAUUUUCUCUCAAUCUCUCAAACCCCUGCAUCCUUAAUUUGAUUCACGUUUUUUUUGUUAUGUCGCCAUACAUAAGAAGCAAAGGUGAAACUGAUGCUGUCCACGCUGACGAUAAUCUAUUAGACCAUUCUGCUGAAGGCAUUGGUCUUGGUUCGUUUUCUUUUAACACACUUAUAUUAAGUAGGGUUUAUAUUUUUCCUGUCCAUUCCUGUUAAGGUGUACUUAAUUAUUAACCAUUAACAACUUCGCUCAGGUAAUGCACAUAUAUUAAUUAGGGUUUACUUUUUUUUUUGAGUUCUUAAGUAUGGGGUUGUAUGAGUUUUAGUGAAUCUUCAUAUUAUUGCACACUUGAUGUUUGUAAAAAGGACUGAAUGAAUGAUCUUUUAAAGUUUUUUUUUGUAUGAUCAUUCUGAUUUUACAGGUGAUGAUACAUGUAUCUGCAAAAAAAAAAAAGAAAAAAAAAAACACUAGAGAAAGCCAACAAUUGAAACACAUACUACUUAAAGCGGCAUGAACUCUUUUUGUGCACAAUUAAUUAAUAAUAGUGUGCCAAUUCCUCUUAAGUAUUUUUAUUUAUUUAUUUAUUUUUAUUUUUUGAUUUACUGAGUACAAAUUGAUGCAUUCUAAAAAAAAUCUAAAUUUCAACCCAAGUUAGCAACUUCUCUAUAUUAAUAAUGCUUGCAGAUUUAUUCCCUUUUUGUUCUAAAUUAAUGUAAUUGUUGACAUUUUGGUGUCACGGAAUAUGUUGCAAUCUGUAGGGCUGCUAGGAUCAUUACAGGAUACAACAUAACCACCACAAAGCCAAUUGCAAAGCCAACAUUUAGGGAGAGGCUAGAGUUAAUUUGGAUGAAUUAGAAAAACCUACUCAGGUAUUUACUCUCCUAUGGAUGUUAGUGGUUCGAUAUGGACUUACUACAUAAUAGCUUCUCACAUUUGGUGAAGUUGUUGUGUUAUUGGCAAUGGUAUUAAUGACGCUCCAGUGCUUACAUAAUGAUGGAGGACAUGGUACUGUCUUACAUAAUGUUAUGGCUCGAGGUAUGCUUAGUUAGUAUUUCUACACUCUUCAUGCAGUUUUAGGUAAUAUUCCUUGCUCGCAUAAUUUUUGCCAAACAGAAACUGUGAAGAUCUUAAUUCAAAUUUUCUAUUUCGGUUCCUAUAUAUAAAGAUAUAUACUGCAUGCUGUUAUACCCAGAAAUCGUAUCCAAAAUUUCGACCUACUAAUCUAUCGUAGCGCCUUCUUUAAAUGGAACAUGAGAUACAAAGUCUGGAAAGCCAUUCCAAGACAAAAGUUUUCCUUGAUUACCUUCGACGAAUCGCACUCUAAACAUUUUCUAUCGUUUUUUAAUUGUAAAUGUUUUCGACAAAUAUUAAAACACCCAGUAUUGCACUGACUAUUUUUUUCCUUUGUAGAUGUAUUUGAGGUGCUUGGGGUGUUGAGAUGCAUAACGAACUGUUUUUUUCUUUUGUUUGCUUAUAAUUUUUUGUUUUUUGUUUUUCCAGUAUAGCAGGGAGUGGUGAUGUCUACAUUAAUGGUAUGAUGUUUAUACUGCAUGUGCAUGAUAGUAUACUGACGGCUAAGGUACAGAGAUUGCAAUUUACUGGGCAUGGAAAUUACAUUUUUGUUUUACCCGCUCCACAUUAAUCUUUCCUAAUUGUGCAAAAGAAGUUCUUAGUGUGAUUCCAGUAUCCCAUAUCAGUGUUCAGGAUUUCGAGCGGAAUAUGUUGAACCUAUCUUCCAUAAAAAAUGGAGAAGUUCAGCCAAUGCGAGCUCAAAUUGAUGAGCUGAGCAUGCUGUUCUAAAAUGUGAAUGAUGAUGUACUUCUUUAACCGUCCUAAACGCUAUGUAGGAUAAGAUCAUAAGAAUGAUAUGUAGUCUAAUCAUCUUAAACACAUAUUGUGGAUAUACACCUCCUCCAUAUACAACGGAUCGAUAUUCGACUCGAUGCCGUAUCAAUUUGUACAUAUUUAGAUUAGCUUCUUCAAUGGAGUUGGAAUGAUGAGUAGCCUCAAGGCUAAUGCAAAAGCUGAAUUCAGUCACAUUUGGGUUGUAUAUUUGGACUAUAUGACUGACCUGAUAUUUAAACGUGACUUGAAAUACUUUUAUUUUGUGAUUA